GGCCCGAGCCAGGGGCCAGAGGCCUAGGGAACAGAACUUAGCGAGGAAGGAGGUGACUCCUCACCUGUGUUCUGUGUAUUAAAGCCUGGUAGCCCUUGAGUUUAUCAUUGGGUAACUAAAUUCGUGAGCCUUAGAAGUACCCAAGAGGAGAAGAGGGUGUCAGGCCGAAGCAGUGGACCUUCUGCCAGCAGAUAACAGUACAGAGGCUUACUCCUCUCAACCCCCACACCCAGUCAUCUCAGUGACCUCAGUGACAGUGCCCUGGGAAUCCUCGUCUUCCUCCUCGUAUUGACUUCCAAGCUCCCAGGAGCCUAGGACUUGACUCAGAGGAGGCCUCCGUCUUUGGGGGGAGGCACUCACUCCCCUCUCCAUCACUGAGUUGGAGCAUUGA